UGGAUGGAAUUAUCAGUGACAUGGGAAGGGGAAAAAAUAUUUAGUGUGGAGUGACAAGUUGUUUUUGUGUACAUAUCGCUUCUGUGCCAACAUAAUGGCUAAAAACCUCACAUAACAGCAGAUAUUUAUCAGUGGCAUUGGGAAAUUGGGUUGUGAUCUCACUCAUCUCAUCUACAUUUCAGUUACAGUGCUGCUUGUGUGAGACAGAUGAUGUUGAGAAGAAAUGUACAUUUAUGCAUGCCAGUCAAGCUGCUAGGAUACCAACUGGUUGCUUCUUGAGAGAGGGGACUUUAUGCUGCUGAAUUGUUCAUCUGGCAUCUGGCCAUUUUUUCUUUUUUAAAAAAGAGAGAGAAGUCUUCUGAUAGGGCAAGGGGAACUUGUAACAAGGGUGCUGGUUCUGCAGGGAGUGCCAAGGACCCUCUACCUUGCCACCAUUUCUGAGAGCGAUCCUGGUUCCUUUCCAUUCCAGUCAUGCUAGAAUGGUGGGGGGCAUGGAGGGAGCUAAUAUGCAUGUAGCUCAAAAUGCCAGGUCAAAACGUCCUUUUUGUGGUGUCCCAGCAGUCUCAAACAAAGAUGUCUUCCUUUGCCUCUAUGGAACAAAAUGUCCCAGCAAGUCCCCUGCGCCUAUUUGGAGAAGGGGGAAACCAGUGUCUGGAUCUUGCGUUCAUCUGAUCUCAGCAUAAGAGGUAUAUUUCUAGGUUCUUUGCUUUAUUCCUCACAGUAUUUGCAUCCAUUAUCCUUACUGAAGGAUUGGUCACCAUUUCCUUGUCUUUCACAUGGCAGUGUUCCCCAACCAUCAGUUAGGAACUACUGUGCUAAGAUUAAUACUAAGUAUUAAUACAGAAUAAUACUAUGAAAGUUCUGUCAAAAUGUGUACUGCCUACUUUUAUCAUUGAGGAAAAAGCAAGGUUUCUAACAGGUUGAUCUCAGUCAAGAACAGGGUGCUUUUUUUAAAAAAAAAGUUCAGUUUCUUUUGAAAACAUUUAAAAUGGAUUUCAUUUGGCAAGGAUGCACCACAUUUAGCUUUUAAGUCUCAGGAAUCAUAGAAGCAUCAAUAUACUGUAUAUUGAAAACCUGCAAAAUUUCCUGCAGUUGUGAACUAACUUUGGUUCAUUAGAUAAUAGCUUAUACAAGCCAUGUAUUGUUUUUGAGCAACUUCAAGGCUUUUGGAUACUUGUUCCUAAAUUGCUGGAUAGAGAUUGGCUCAGCAUGCACAGCCUUAUGCAAAUGUUGAAGAAGCUUGCCUCAAGUGACAGGCAAUGACUUUGAAGGAGCUUGCUUUUGGCAAGCCAAAGGAGUGGCCCAGGUGGCUCUUUUGGCUGUGGUUUAAUAAGCUACACUCCAUGUUUCCUUUACUAUCUCAAUCAUCCCCACUUCAGAAGUGGGUAGAUGGCUAUCACAUCUUCCUAUUCACUGAUCUUAUAAAUAUGCACAACUUUUUAAUUUCUUUUUUGUCAAUCAUUUCUCUCAACCUUCCAGGCUUGAUUAUGUUGUGACUGCAGGUACCAAGUCAGACAGCAGCUCAGCUGACUUCUGUCCUUUAAUAGUUCGAGUUGUCUGUGCAGUGUUGGUGGUUUAGUUCAGCAGGUUAAGAGCUUGGAUUGUCACCUGGUUUGACAGAGAGGGGCAUACAUAUGGGAUCUGGGGCUUGGAUUUGCUGCUUGCUUUAGUUUUCUGAAGCAACACCCCUCCAUACACCCCCCCCAAAGAAAAUUCCCACUUCAUAACCUUGAAAAGGUAUGCCUUUUCUAGACUGCUACUAGAAAAAUGAGCUUUUAGGCCCACCAGACAGACUAUUAACCUCCUGUCAUCUUUGGCUUGUCAGGAGCCCUGCUGCAUCUUCAUUUAUUUGUUCAGCACUAUGUCUUUUUUUGAGCUUGGUUAAAAGGAGCAUGACUCUCAAUAUACUUGGUCACAUUUUCUUUUGAGAGGUGCCUCUUUCAAGCUAGAGAGCUCCACACUGCAUCGUUAGAUGAGAACAGAAAUGAAGUUAAUACCAGCUUUCUACCAUGGCUGAGCUUUCUGUUAUAAACAAACCUCCCGAAUUUCUGAUAACUCUGAAGGAUCAUAAGACUUGCUGCUAGCUACUAGAGAAUUGUUGACACGCUUUAAAAACAAAAAGUUCCAACCUUUGAAAUAGAAGUAAAUGCAAUCCUAUACACACUUAUCUGAGAGUAAAGUCAUGCUGAAGUCAAUGUAACUACCUUCUAAGUAGACAUAUAUAGGAUUGCAGUGAUAUAUACUUAAUGCAGAGAUGAGGCAUCCCAGAAUUUAUUGGGCUGCAGCUGAAAGACCACUUGCCAUUGUGUAGACCUGUAAGAUCACUUAAAUUGGGUAAAUUCUACCUUUUCAGAUCCAGGUCCCACUUUUAACCCAAGCAUGCAUUUAGGAACCAAUGGUGGUAGCGCUCCUGUUGUAACCUUGGGUCAGGCAGCAAUCCACUAGUGGGUCUUAGGACCAGUGACUUAGAUCAUCUGGGGAAAUUCUUCUCAUGGCACUGCACCCUACAAAAUAUAAAUUUGUUUCUCAAAUCCCCCUUCCCAUUUUUCUAUUUUAAAAAUGUUUAAAAUUAUUUUGCUGCCCUCCAACAAUUUAAAAUCCAUUUUGAAUUUUUUAACUGACUACUGCCAUAGGCAUCCCACUGUGUUGUUAAUUGUUUUUGUGCCCCCAAGCCCGCCCCCAUUGUCUGCUUUUAGUGUUUUAAAAAAACACGAUAUAGAUUUAUUGACCAGUCUCACAGGUUACCUAUUGCGAUUAUGUGAUACCAAACGUUUUAGAGACUCAACCAGAGGCCCUUCUUUAAAAAUUAAAGGUGGAAAGGUAAGGGUGGAAACAAAAACUUAAAAAUUAAAACAAAAAUCAGAAUAUUUUAGUUUGCUUCAGAAAGUAUUUAAGACUGCAGUCCACAGCUUUCCAAAGGCAACUACAAAAAACCCACUGAUUUGAAUGGAAUUCAGUGGUCCGUCAUGAACAAUAAAUAAAACCCCAGAGGCAUUUUAGAUUCCUAGAUACAGAAUAUGAGCAAAUGCUUUCAAAAUGUAAUUUGAAGAUUUAACCCAGUGUUUCUCAAGUUCCAUAAUAUGAAAGUACUGGUAUUUUUCCUCGUAAUAAUAAACUGCUUGAGUUACAUAAACAGAAGUGAAGAUAAAAAUAAGCUCCCUUUAAUGUGACAGGUGCUGCUGCACAGUUACAUCCCAUAUUUGUACACAGCCUGUUUAUUUACUCCUUUGUUCUUGAGUUAGAAAACUUUGAAAAAGAACAUCAGUCGCUGCUGAUCUGAUCUCCAUUGAUGUGUAAUAAUAAAUAAAUGGGGAUUUGAAAUCUACAGUGAAAUGUAAUGCUGCUUCCUCCUAUUUAUUAUAAAGCAUAGAAAACUAAUAAUGGUCCUGGACUCUUAGCCAUUAUUCUUCUGAACCUUCGUUUGCCACUGCAUAACAAUUGGGAAAGGCAGCAAUUCAUGUUUUCUAAGGCUUAAUUUGCAUUUGCAUUACAUUCUCAGUGCAUCAGAAUGUGCCACUGUAAAGCAUAAGCAGGAGAUAAUCAUUGGGUGUCGAUUUUGUGCACCAGAGAAAUUGCCCUUGAAUGUAAUACUUAUUAGCAUCUCAGUAAAUAUGAAUGGCAUUAGAGGAAAUGUUGAAACUCUGAAAUUGGCACAUUUUUUCCUAAGUAACUUCAACAAUGUCAUGUUCUAUUUAUUUGCUUGCUUUUUAAUAUGCACAAAUGAGGAGAAGACAAAAUGCAGUUAAUGCGGAAUGAAAUGCAGAUUUUGUAAUAAGAUAGGGAGCACAUCUUUUGGGAGAAGUCGUGUAGGUAGGGGGUGAGUGGAACCCUCAAGGAAGAAAUAGGAUAUAAUUUGGAAGGUCAGAACUCCUCAAGUCUUCCGGUGAACAUGCAAAGAAGCAGGCUGGAGCGCUUCCUUUAAGAGUAUGCAUCACCAAAAGAAUACACAUUCCUGUUUAUUCUUUUGCUUAUGUUUCUGCUUGUGCCCCGUCCCCCAAAUAAAUAAAUAAAUGGCACAGAAACAAAUUGGAACAAAUAUGGUACACUAAGAUCACAUCCACGCUGUACAUUUAAAACACUUUGUAUCACUUUAACAGCUGUGGCGUUUCACAGUAUUGGGAACUGUAGUUUGUUAAGGGUGCUGGGAUUGUAGCUCUGUUACAAGCAAUUCCUGAGAUUCUUUGCAGGAAGCAAUGACUGUUAAAUGCAUGGUGUGAAUGUGAUCUAAGAGACAAAGCAAUGCAAGAGUAUAAUGUGGGUACACCCCAGGACCUAUUCUAGACCAAGCAGACUGAGGUCUUUGAAGAAGCUUUUCUGUUUCUGUGCAUGCUAUGUUUAGAGUUCUCCUGCAAAAGUCUAAGGAGGCUUCCAAGUGUUGUGGAACACUCUGGCUUGAGGAGAAUUGGAUAGGCUUCUGACAAUUCUCCUGAAAUUUCCAAAUUCAUAAAAUUAGGAACAUAGGAGGCUGCCUCGUACUAAGCUGGGUCAUUAAUCCAUCUAGCACAAUACUGUCAGCACUGACCGAUAGGGAUGGGGAAGAAAUUCAGUUCAGUUUGUAUUUAAAAGGGAACCUACCAGAUUUACACUUCCCGAAACAAUACACAAACCAAAACACAGCUAGCCUUCAGAAUUCAUACAUAGCUAAGUUUUGCAGUUCAGUUCUCCCCUAAUGCAUGAAUUAGGGGAGAUUCCUUGCAAAAGUAUGUAUGUUAGCCAAAACAGCACACAAAAAUGUGUUGAUAAGGAGAAAGUCACACUAAAAUGUUGAAUUUUCUUGAGUAUUUAAAAACACACACACGCCACAUAUUGCUACAGAAAUGGGGAUAAUGGGAUUUAAGAUUGGUAAAAUGAGAAACUAAGAUAACUGAGAAAGGCAGAUCCCUCCAUCUAUACUGACCGGCAGCAGCCCUUUGGCAAUAGCCCUACCUGGAGAUACCAGAGAUUCAGCCUAGAUCCUUUUGCUCUCCCACCAAGCUCUGGCCCCUUCUGGGUUUUGGCCACCCUUACCUGUAAAGCAACAUGGCAAACUGGCUAUGCAGUUAUGCUAGUCACUUUUCAAAGUAUGGUAUAGAAUCCCAUGCAGACACAAUAUAUGUAGUUGCCAUACACUGAGUCUCAGACUGAUUCCAUCUAGCCCUCUUCUGUCUAAACAGACAGAAUACCUUUCCAGGGAACCUCAGUCCCCGCCCCCCAGCCUUCCUGCAUAAGGUCUUUUAACUGGAGAUGCAAGGGGUUUUAGUCUAUUUAUGUCUUUAUGUGGAAAUAAUUCUAUUCCACUGAACUGAUUCACAACAUAAAGAAACACAUUAAAAAUCAUAUCAUAUAUAAAGGAAAAAUACCACCAGAGUGAGUGGUCGGAGAAUGCCCUGGGAAGAGAUGUGUCUUAUACAAAGACCUGAAGCAUCUUCCCAUUGGUGCUUCCCUGAAUAAUGUUCUCUGCAUGCAAAUCUUGUGCUCUGCCACUGAUAUAUGGUCCUUCCCUAUUGAAAGGUAUAAUUACAUAUCACUCUUAGAGAGGCUCUUGGGGGCUCAGCUGGAACUUAGUGCUUAAAUGAUGAGUGUGAACAUUAAUAGGGAAGGUUACCUGAUGCAGAAAGAUGAUAGGAGCUUCUUUGAUGAGCACAGCAGUGCUUUCAAAAUAUAACUCAUGAUUUAGUAUAUCAGGGUAACUGUAUGAACACUAUUAAAAACUGAAUAGCCAAAGAGCUGAUGUCUCCCUCCCGGCAUGCAUACCUCGCAAGCUAAAUCAGAUGAAGAGCAGCCACUGAGGGGCCUUGGCCUUGGUUAUGGCACUCCCUUCUGUCAAUGGCAAAAUAUGGAUUGCCUUCAGUGGCGGGAACCUUGAGCAUCCCUUAUCAUAAUUCAUCCCUUAUUUACAUCCACAAGAAGAUCUUCCCUAAACUCUCAGGCUCCCUUGAAAGCCCUUGGCCUGUGAUAAUGGUAAUGGUGGCAUCCUUGUUAUUGACAUUAAACAUCCGUGACAGCUGCAAACUGAGAGUCUGUUGGUUUUCAAUUAAAGCCUCAACAUAAUGAUUCCAAUUCCAAUCAUCACAGGAGGACAAUACAAUACUUCGCUAAUGCAGAUGAAAGGGUUUUUUUGCUUUGUUUUUCCGUCUAUCGAUUUUUCCAUAGCCCAUCUCUUUCAAUGGCUUGCCAUGAAUUGGGACGUGAUGGUACAGUGAAUGUUGACGCACAUGGAGCAGCCACUAAGAGCUGGUUCAGGCAUUCAUUCAUUCAUUUAUAAAAAGCUUUUAAGAGCAAAUGUAUGACAAGCCAACAUUUGCAGUUUAUAUUACAUAUAGGGGACCUCAUGCCUGGGGGCCAAAUGUGGCCCUCCAAACUUGUCUGUCUGGUCACACCCCUGCCACACCACCUGCUGGCCCUGCUAAUAACCCUCCUUGUGUGUGCUUGCCUCACUGGAAUACAUCCUUUAGCACAGAUAAUGCCUCUUGCUUUUUUUAAAAAUAAUAUUUAUUAAUUUUCCAACCGUUU